UACGUAGGUGGCGAGCGUUGUCCGGAUUUACUGGGCGUAAAGAGCGCGCAGGCGGCUGGUCAAGUCCGAUGUGAAAGCUCCCGGCUUAACUGGGAAAUUGCAUCGGAAACUGAUCGGCUGGAAGGUGGGAGAGGGUAGCGGAAUUCCUGGUGUAGCGGUGAAAUGCGCAGAUAUCAGGAGGAACACCGGUGGCGAAGGCGGUUCUCUGGGCCUUACCUGACGCUGAGGAGCGAAAGCAUGGGGAGCAAACAGG
rnacentral:rRNA from 1 species